rnacentral:tRNA from 4 species
GGGCGAUUAGCUCAGCGGUAGAGCUCCUGCCUUACAAGCAGGCUGUCACUGGUUCAAAUCCAGUAUCGCCCACUA